rnacentral:rRNA from 1 species
CUACGGGAGGCUCUAGUGGGGAAUAUUGCACAAUGGGCGCAAGCCUGAUGCAGCCAUGCCGCGUGUAUGAAGAAGGCCUUCGGGUUGUAAAGUACUUUCAUCGGGGAGGAAGGGAGUAAAGUUAAUACCUUUGCUCAUUGACGUUACCCGCAGAAGAAGCACCGGCUAACUCCGUGCAGCAGCCGCGGUAAUACGGAGGGUGCAAGCGUUAAUCGGAAUUACUGGGCGUAAAGCGCACGCAGGCGGUUUGUUAAGUCAGAUGUGAAAUCCCCGGGCUCAACCUGGGAACUGCAUCUGAUACUGGCAAGCUUGAGUCUCGUAGAGGGGGGUAGAAUUCCAGGUGUAGCGGUGAAAUGCGUAGAGAUCUGGAGGAAUACCGGUGGCGAAGGCGGCCCCCUGGACGAAGACUGACGCUCAGGUGCGAAAGCGUGGGGAGCAAACAGGAUUAGAUACCCUAGUGGUC